ACCAAUGUAGUUGAAAGGGUAACACGUUGUUAAUGUUAAUGUUGGUUCCUCUUUUUCUACAAUGACAGUUCGAUCUUCUGCGUUUGUU
rnacentral:tRNA from 1 species